ensembl:lncRNA
GUAUUUUAUGUUUUUGCAAUUUUUAAAAAAAUGUGUGGCUUUAUAAAUGGUAGCUGAAUUUUUAUAUCUGCUUCUGCAUUGAAUGGGUGGCAUUAUGUCCUUUGGCUUAAAGCCUAUAAAGAGAAAAACAGCUUUACACAGAUAUGUAACUGGAAAAGGGAGGUCCUUGUGAGUUCCAGGAAGUGUGUUGGCAACCUGGGCUCCUCAGACCAUACUUUGAGAACUACUCCUCUUGAAUGAUCGCAACACUCUCUCUGUGAUGGUGAGCUGGUGAUGUCAGCUGAAGGCAGUCAACCUCAAGGUCUAUGGUGCUGGACCAGAUCACAGAGAUUUCAGAGCUAAGGACAAAUUAUGUCUAUGGAGUCCAGGUUGGCUGGGAGAAAAAUAUCAGAAAUGAAGUGGUGGUAAGCCCCAGAGUGAGGUGUGAUGGGAAACUUUGGAAACUUUUGUUUUUUUUUGAUUUGGCUUCACUUUUAUCUGUUAAAAUGAUGCUUCUUAGCAGCUCUGCCACUGGCAAGCCCAUCAGUGCACAAACACACCACUACCUUUAUGUUGGAACCCAAACAGGUUGGUAUAUAUAAGUCAGAAGCCACAGCUCCCCUGGGUUGUAGCUGAGGCGUCUGGAAGGCAGGACAAGAAAUCUGUGGGCCAAAGGGCAGGAGUGACGCCUCCUCUGGAAGCGAAGGGCCAGACCUCCAUCUCUCUGGGGUAGAGAUGAAGUGAGGAGUCUCCAGAGCAGGCGUCUAAGAAAGCUGCUGCACGACGUUUCCGCUGCUUUAUUAUCUGAGGGCAGCUCAGGCCACUGCUUUAGGCAUUGAAACUCUAUUUAGUCUUUCUGGGGCAUUCAAAUAACUCAAUAAGCCUUGCUCGUUGCUUCUGAGGUGUUUCUGGGGUCUUUCUGGGGUGUUCUGAGGUUGGAGCCUUUUGUUCAGUUAAGUAGAAGAUUGCCCAUAAGCCUUAUUGAUCUUCUCUCUGAGAGAAUUUCUCCCCUUUUGUCUUUUUCAGAAAGUUCACAAUCUUGUCUUGAGAUUGAGCAAUGAUUUCCCUGGUUGCCUCUUCUCCAUAGAUCAGCCCACUCAGCAGUCCAAGGAAUAGGAUGUAGGUUCGAUUCUUUCACAGGUUGUCUCCUCACUGUGGGAAUCUGAUGGAGAACUGACCUGGUCUCAUCAAUGCUGUGGCCCUUCUCCCUGGUUCCUGCGUAAAUCCCUGAAUCCAGGAAUUAAGGCAGCCAACUGGUUCAGGUGCAAAGUCUAUUAAGGAAAGAGUCCCUUCGGCCUCAGGUGCCAAAGCUUCCCUCAGAUGGGUUUAAAAUCUAUUGGCCCUUUUGGAGAUUUUAGGUUCAUAUUCCAGAAUGAGGAAUGCUGAAGAGGAGGAAAUGAAGUUACCCAACAAUAAUUCAUACCUUUACUCAUUUGAGCCCUGCUUCUUCUCAAGACCUUUUGUGAGACUUUGGACUUGGGAAUGAAAUCCUAGCUUUUCCUACCACAUUUAAGGAUGAGAAGUCUAUCACUGAUGGAAGAAUGAUUGUCAGCAAGCAGUUGUGUGUGUAUCCACUCAGUUGCUGAGUCAUGUUUGACUCUUUGCAACCCCAUGGACUGUAGCCCAUCUGGCUCCUCUGUCCAUGGGAUUUCCCAGCCAAGAAUACUGGAAUGGGUUACCAUUCCCUUCUCCAGGGGAUCUUCCCAACCCAGGGAUCGAAAUCACAUCUCCUACACUGGUAAGCAGGUUCUCCACCAUUUGAGCCACCUGGGAAGCAGUUAUGAGGCAGCUUCUCUGUGUCAAGUACCAUUUGGGCUCCAGGAGCAUAAAGGUGAACACAGAACAGUUCUUACUCUCAGUGACCCCAGAGUCUACUGUGGAGAUGAGUAUAUAUUUAUAUAUAAAAUAAUAUAAACAUAUAAAUAUAUAAAUAUAUAAUGUAUAAUAUAUACAUAUGUAUGUGUAUAU